ACCGCAGCCGAGUUUGCUCGUCGCCAGUCGCGAACUGAGGCCGCUUGUCAGUUACGAAGCAAACGUCUAGCGUGAAGGUUCAGCAGAAGCGUUUCAAUAACACAAGCUGAGGAUAAACCGCCGGCAGAAGCAGCAGCAGCAGCAGCAGCAGCGGCAGCACGUGCCCACAACAACAAUUAUAACAACAACAACAAGCAAUUGCAACAAAUAUCAACAACAACAACAACAACAGCUAACGCGUCCCGUUUGGAUGCUUUAGCUCCCUUUAAAGUGGGUGAAUACCAAAAAUUCCACUGAAAUUUACAAGAAAAAAGCAAAUAUAUAUAACAUAAAUCGAGUAAAAUACAGAAAAAGAACAGAAAAGACUCGCAUACGCAUACGCAAAGGCAAAACAAAAACCUAAAGCUAAAAAGCAAUUAAAAACGAAACAAAUUGUGCCGUAAGUCAAGUUGGGGGCUCUCGCCCAACUUCCCACCAAAACAACAAACAACAAACAACAACAACAAGUACAAUAACAAGUACAACAAUAAUACAACAACAAACCCAUCGCAUCAGUUACAGGAGCAGCAACAGGAAUAGAAGCAGCAGGAGAAUAAAA